rnacentral:piRNA from 1 species
CUGUGGUGGAAGCCGGAAGAGAAGGAACAG